CUUCUGUUCGUGGAGCCGAAUGGGGACCGACUUGAGCUCUUAACCAAUUCGUCAUCUUGUAUCUCAUCUAUUACAUUUUGCUGUGAGGGAUAUAGCCUGUAUGCUAUGGCGGACUGAAAUUUUAUCAGAGAUUUUUUCUGCCGAUGGGAGAGUUAGGGAACAAUCAUGCAAUUAGGGUCACUGAGUCCUCGGUAGAUUUGUGGUUUUUGGGACAGUUGAAUCUUGGGUUGCGAAGUAGAAUUUUGUGAGAUGGACACAGAAGUCCGUUACCCAAAUUGCGAUAUAGGGCACAGCUUGUGACGCACUGGAUUAAACCUUCAAGGAAGAAUCGACAGGGGUUUUAGAUCUUCAAUAUCUGGGAGUUAGGACGAUUAAGUGACGAUUCGCGUUGCGGCGUUGUGGCCGUCAUCGGGGCUGAUGGCUCGGUCGUCGCAUUCCGAGCAGACAUAGACGCCCCUCCCAUCCAGGUCCGGAACCCUAAUUCUCGCUUUAUUCUCAUCUUCUAGAGCCCAUGCAUUGUGUGAAACCCAGUGUUUUUUUUCUGCCUUUCGAAAACAACAGGUCUGGCACCUCGUAGGACGGUGGCCUCGAGGCUUCCCAACCCAAACAACUGGCUCCGCCAUUUUGGACCGUCAGAUUGCGUUGGCCUUCAGAUUCAAUCUUAGCCGCUGAUCCAAGUCUAGGAUUGGAGGGAGGGAGCGUAGGGGAACCAGCGGGGCGGGUAAGUUGGAGGGCUUGCUUUUCGUGGCUGAUUGGCAGGUAAAACUCACUUGUUGUGGUUCCAAAUGAUCGGUUUGGAGUGUACAGCUGAGACAAUGCAAAGUCCUAAUGUGCCUUUUAUCUAAAGCAAGAAGAGAACUAACGAAGGAGUUCCUGCCAGGAAGGCAAUGCCAAGAAGAGGAGAAAAUUUGUUUCGGAGGGGUUCAUGCAGUAGUUGGAGUUGUUCUUGACGCGCACAUAGUCCAGUCGUUGUUGAAAUUGAUGUCAAGCUAACAAGCGGGACAAGCAGGAGUUCCUAUCAAAAUAAGGAUCACUAAUGGAUUGGAGGAGUCUACAAGGUGGCGUUGGAUGAAUCUCUUCGUUGCUGAUGAAGGGCAUAUGAGGUCGAAGCUGCGGCAGAAAUGGUUGUGAGGAGGACGAAGAUGUAGUCGUGGACUGAGUGAAUGCUAAAGGAGAAUGAGAGGUAAGGUAAAAAGGAAAAAAAAGGGAGAAUUAGAAAAGAGGUGAAGAACGAAUGGAGAGUCGCCUCGAACCAGGACAUAGCAAAACAUUGGCAAAAUAUUUGGGUAAAAACAUCUCAUCCCCAAGAUCAGGAAAGUGAAUUGAACUGAUGUUGAUAGGUGUUGAUAGAUGUUGGAGUGGUAAUUUGCUUUGAGUUUCGACCAGUUGUAUACUUUUGUCAAGAGAGUUCAGUCUGGUUCACUCAAACUAUAAGAUGCGUUAUCAAAUUUUUGGAAGGGAACGUAAGUUUCUUUCUAUUUAGCUUUGAAUUUCUGCCCAUGCUGUUUCUGUGACCAA